AUUGAACGCUGGCGGCAGGCUUAACACAUGCAAGUCGAGCGAGCGGCGGACGGGUGAGUAAUGUCUGGGAAACUGCCUGAUGGAGGGGGAUAACUACUGGAAACGGUAGCUAAUACCGCAUACCAUCGGAUGAGCCCAGAUGGGAUUAGCUAGUAGGUGUGGUAAUGGCUCACCUAGGCGACGAUCCCUAGCUGGUCUGAGAGGAUGACCAGCCACACGGGAACGGAGACAAGGUCAAGACUCCUACGGGAGGCAGGAGUGGGGAAUAGUGCAAAAUGGGCUCAAGCCUGCUGCAGCCAUGCCGUGUGUGUGAAGAAGGCCUUCGGGUUGAAAAGCACUGUCAGCGAGGAGGCGUUACUCGCAGAAGAAGCACCGGCUAACUCCGUGCCAGGCGGCGCGGUAAUAC
rnacentral:rRNA from 1 species